GCGGUCCAAAAGCCUCCUCCCCAAAAAUCUUCAAAUACACCCAAUUUCCAACUCCGUUUUUUACUUCACCUUCUUUGUUUAAUCAAUGCUUCACACUAGUUUUCAUAGUAACAACACCACUGAGCAGCUGAAAAAUGACAUCUUUUAUGCAACUACGAAUCCCAAACGCAAAGCUUGCCUUUUUUUCAAGAACAUCACGAGUACCCCUUUAUCGGAUUGUAUUGUCGUUCCCUCAGAAGGUUUUCUUUUGCACAGCUAAGUAUUCUGAAUCUGAGGUAGACGGAUCUUUUAGCUUAAGGUUGGUCCCCCCAACCCUUGUAGCUGCUGAAAAGGAAGAGGCGAAGGCUGUCUUGACCUUGUUUCUGAAGAAACAGGGUUUAAGCAAUGCUCUUGCAGCAAGAGCUAUCAACAGAUCAGAGUCUUUUAUCGAACACCUUG
rnacentral:misc_RNA from 1 species